rnacentral:rRNA from 1 species
UGGGGAAUAUUGCACAAUGGGCGAAAGCCUGAUGCAGCGACGCCGCGUGAGGGAUGACGGCCUUCGGGUUGUAAACCUCUUUCAGCAGGGAAGAAGCGAAAGUGACGGUACCUGCAGAAGAAGCGCCGGCUAACUACGUGCCAGCAGCCGCGGUAAUACGUAGGGCGCAAGCGUUGUCCGGAAUUAUUGGGCGUAAAGAGCUCGUAGGCGGUUAGUCGCGUCUGCUGUGAAAACUCGAGGCUCAACCUCGGGCUUGCAGUGGGUACGGGCUGACUAGAGUGCGGUAGGGGUGACUGGAAUUCCUGGUGUAGCGGUGGAAUGCGCAGAUAUCAGGAGGAACACCGAUGGCGAAGGCAGGUCACUGGGCCGCAACUGACGCUGAGGAGCGAAAGCAUGGGGAGCGAACAGGAUUAGAUAGCCCUGGUAGUCCAUGCCGUAAACGUUGGCACUAGGUGUGGGUCCAUUCCACGGAUUCCGUGCCGCAGCAAA